AUGUGCUUACUAUACUGUACAUGUUACAGAUUUCAUAUUUAUGACAGAUAUUUUGAUGUCACUUUUUGGAAUUUUACUUCCUUUAUUAUGAAACAUAGACUGUAUAUCAAAGAUGGACAUGGCCACCGCGAUAGCAUGUGUUGGUUUGUAGAUAACAAUCCUAGAGCUUUCACUUUCACAUUUUGGUCUUUUGAGUGUAAAGUGCAUCCAUUAUUCACUGUGAUAUUAAUUUGGAUGCCAGUUUUUGCUAAAAACAGGCUUAAACCAAAUGUACCAAUGUGUAAACAUAAAAAGGCUGUCCCCCUAAAACUCCUAGAGCUGGAAAAGAAAUGAUGAAAUUACAAUUAGGAGGCUAGCUUACUGCCAUUAACAACUUAACCAUGGGCUAAAGCACUGCACUAAAUAGACUUAAAGCUAGCAUUUAAGACCAUAAAUACAACAAUAAAGUGAGAAUUUUCCCAUUUCUUUUACAGUCGAAUUUCUUUUUGAAUCCAGAGGAGUUGCCCCCUGCUGUCAUUUAGAAAAAAUGCAGGUUUAAGGCUCCUCACCAGCUUCACUUUUCAUGUCCAUCUUUAACAUACAGUUUGUGGGUUUAAAAGGGCACUUUCACAGGUAUUUACGCCCCAGGUUUACUUCUGCUCACUCUGUAGAUAUAAGCAUUUCUAGGAAUCUCAAAAGGUUGAUUCUGUUCUGGAUGUAGCGCUUGCAGUGGGAGAAACAGGUUUCCCCAACCCUAUAAACAGGACAUUUGCACAAUAACUGUCACUUGAAAUGUGCUGUUUAUAACAUUGGGGAAACCUGCAGUCAGCUGAGACUGAAGACAUCACUCGGACGAGUGACGAAACAUUUCUCCCACUGAAAACGCUACGUCCAGAACAGAAUCAACCUGUUUUGGAUUUACUUACCUGGACGAUUGAGCAUGCAUCAAGACAUUUCUAAGAAUAGUUCACAUAUCAUUUGUCAUCGUAAAGAGAGAGGUGUUUGAGUUAAGCAGGUUGAUAGCUAUCUUAGCCAAUCACAGUGCCAGAUUCACCUGUUUCUCCCAAAACAGGUUGCUGAUGUCACCAGUCCUAUAUCUGGGAACUUUUACAGUGUGUAUGGAACGUAUGCUCAUUUCAUAAAGCUUUUUUUUUCAUUUCCCCAACAUUGUUUUAGUUUAAUCUAUAGUUUGGAGCAAAGGCAAUACUCUGCUACCGGGGUUGGCUCAUUGUUAUUUGCUCUGGGUGUGUUGAAGUGAUGCAUAGUGUAAGACUGAUUUAAUAUGCAGCCACAGAGACUUGCCAUGAAAUACAGCAAUUACUGAAAGCAAACUCAACUCUACUUUAAUGUGGCAUACAUAUGUACAAGAGAGAAAUAAUGCCAUUGCACGGGUUCAUUUGCCAAUUUUUGGGUUCACUGUGUCCCUUCCUCUCUGCUGAAUGGUGGGUGAUAUUGUAAGUGUAUUAAUGUUGUGUAUAUUGGUGUAAAUGUGGCAUGAAAACCAACCCCUCUUGUGUGCCUCAGGUGUAUAAAUUUAGGCGUUAUGUGAUCUCGAUGUCUGGCUGCUUAUUUGUGAGAAGUGUGAUGUAAUUUAUUAGUAUUAACAUUAUUUCUGUUCUUUUGUCUGAACGAAAGAUUUCUGUUAAUAAAGUAAAACCUUUUAUUAUACCUGUUGCAGUGCAUUCCAGUCUUUAUCAGUCAUCUGCUGAGCUCCACUGGAUCAGAUUUGAAGGGUUUUUUCUCCAUUUAUGGUCACUGAAAGAGAACGCUUGGCUGUUACUGUACUUUUAAAAGCCUUGUUUGAAAAACACAACUUUCAGAAUAUGUAGCGAUAAUCCCAAAAUCCUUUCAUCUUGGAUUAUUACCCUUUUUUAUUUCUCUUGGCAUGAUACUCAGGGUGUUAAAAGCUGACUGGCAACACGAGGCCAUGGAGAAAGAAACCUGCCGGCAUCCAGUGCUUCCUUUCAUCUGCUGCCCACUUCACGUCAGGUCCAGAAAUUAAUUGUGUUAAGAGAUGAUAUGAAACACACUCAGCUGUGAAUAUGUCACUGAGCACACACGAACGUGUUACGAAUUCUCAAACAACGCGAUCAUCAUUCAGGUAUUACUACUUUACGACCGAAUGUGGCUGCCAGACUCGAAAUAUUUUAUGCCCAGCUUUAAGGAGUAAAGCACUCGAGAAGAAGUGAACUGAGACGAUCAUAUUUUUGUGGCCAACCUUAAAUUCAAACUACAGUAUUUCUUUCCCCCUUUUGUUAAUCACUUUGAAGCACUAGGAUAAAGUGUAAACAGAUGUAUGUGUGUAAAAUGUCUGAACUGAGAACAAAUUUUGAACACUUCUUGUUCCAACAUACCCACAUGUAGUUGGUAGUGUUACUUAAAGUAUGCAAGUCCAAAUAAAAGCUGCGAUGUUUAGGUUAACAAAUACAAUGAAAGUUCAUAAGGAUAUUUUCUUUUUCUUGCAUCCAAUCAUGAUUAAGUGAUGAGCCCUGUUACCCGUCCACUAAAAGGUAUGAACAAAGAUUUAUGACACCUUUAC
ensembl:lncRNA